rnacentral:tRNA from 1 species
CAAAAUGUAGUUUAUCUAAACCAUCUUGCUUACACCAAGAAAAUAUUUGCGCCCUCAAAUCAUUUUGA